AAAUGUUCUUUUAUUUAUCGACACAAACAGCGCAAUACCGUGGAACGCCGUUAGAAUCGGCGACAGUCGCGCUGCGGUAACGGGGAACGUUCGGGACUUUUAUUAACGCGCUUUAUGCGCUGGCCAAUGAGCCGGUUUGUCGCGGAUUCAAUGCGCAUUGCAUCUGCAGGCGGACGGUUUGUGAAGGCGUUUCGGACGGCGCGGGCAUUGGGCCCGCAUAUUACCCGGAGUCCGAAUAUUCGGUGUUGCUUGUAGGAAGG
rnacentral:ncRNA from 19 species